rnacentral:tRNA from 1 species
GGGAGUAUAGCUCAGUGUUAGAGUGUUGCCUGACAUACACAGGACACUGGGUUCAAUCUCCAGCACUGUUA